rnacentral:snoRNA from 1 species
AAUCCAUGAUAAGGACAUAGAUGCUGUAGAUCCUUGAACCGCUCCCAAGCUUCAUACAGAGACUCACCAGGAUCGUGGGUGAAAGUAACUAUGACAUGUCUCAUAUC